rnacentral:rRNA from 1 species
CCUACGGGAGGCAGCAGUGAGGAAUAUUGGUCAAUGGGCGCGAGCCUGAACCAGCCAAGUCGCGUGAGGGAGGACGGCCCUACGGGUUGUAAACCUCUUUUGCCGGGGAGCAACGGGCGUCACGUGUGGCGCCACUGAGAGUACCCGGAGAAUAAGCAUCGGCUAACUCCGUGCCAGCAGCCGCGGUCAUACGGAGGAUGCGCGCGGUAUCCGGAUUUAUUGGGUGUAAAGGGGGCGUAGGCGGAUCGUUAAGUCAGUGGUCAAAUAGAGGGGCUCAACCCCUUCCCGCCAUUGAAACUGGCGCUCUAGAGUGGAAGAGAAGUAUGCGGAAUGCGUGGUGUAGCGGUGAAAUGCAUAGAUAUCACGCAGAACCCCGAUGGCGAAGGCAGCAUGCCGGCUUCCGACUGACGCUGAAGCACGAAAGCGUGGGGAGCGAACAGGAUUAGAUACCCUAGUAGUC